rnacentral:lncRNA from 1 species
AGAAAGUCUAAUCAGUUAAGAAUCACACACAUAGAAUAGUUCUACCAUGAGUCCCCAACAACGGCGCCAAAAACUUGUUAACAAACUGGAAAGUGUACCAGAUCGUAUCAAGUAAUAAUAAAUGGUAAGUCCUAGUAUCGUUUUCCCCAGAGACUCACGACACCAAACUGUUGUGCUUUUGCUUAACAAAUCAAAACUAUAAGAA